GAUCACAUCCCCAUUUUGCCUCUCCUCCGCGCUCUCUCUCUCCACACACACACACACACACACACACACACACACACACACACACAGACACACACUUCCGAUCUUACAUUUGCUCUGAGAAAUCAGAUAGGAAUCCUGCACCGGCGAGAAAGAAACCCCGAGCAGAUAGAGAUGGAGGCCGUGCAUGAGGGCAAUGGAGGAGGGAGCGGCCUGGUGGUGACGGAGCUGAGCCACAUCAAGGAGCUGGUGAAGCAGCUGGACGUGCACCUGGGGGGCUCGCCCGACCUCUGCAAGCUCCUCGCCCAGCAGAUCUUCGCCGUCACCGAGAGGUCCAUCGGCAUGAUCAGGUCCGGCCACUUCAACGGCCCCAAGCGCCCGGCCGCCGGCGCCGGCCUCGACUCGCCGCCGCUGUCCCCCACGCCCAGCCCCCUCAGCGGCGUCUCCAACACGCCGUUCAAGCCCAACAAGAAGAGGAAGACGUCGGAGAAAGGGGGGCGUCAGAUCAGGGUGAGCUCGGCGGCGGGAGGGGCGGACGCCCCCGCCGACGACGGCCGCAGCUGGAGGAAGUACGGCCAGAAGGACAUCCUCGGAGCCCAGCACCCAAGGGCGUACUACCGUUGCACGUACCAAAAGACUCAGGGAUGCGCGGCGACGAAGCAGGUGCAGCGCGCCGACGAGGACCCGGCGCUCUUCGACGUGAUCUACCACGGCGAGCACACCUGCGUCCAUAAGACGGCGGCGGCGGCGGUGCAGCCGGCCGGGCAGAACCCGGGCGCGGAAAGCCUUCUGCAGAGCCUGAGCUCGAGCCUGACGGUGAAGACCGAGGGGCUCACGGCGGCGGGAGCGCAGGGCUGGAGCGCCACCACGCCCUUCAGCUUCUCCUCGCCGGCGGUGAGCGGCAUGACGCCGCCGGAGCACCACCCGUUCUCCACGCCGUCGACGCCGGAGAACUGCUUCGUGUCGAUGCCCACGUCGCUCGAACCCUCGCCGGCGACCUCGGGCUCGAACCACAUGUGCAUGACCCCGUUCCAUGCGCAGUCCGAGCUCCAAACAAUGGUGUCAGCGCUCGUGGAGGCGACGAGCAUGCCGGCGGCCGGCACGGAGGAGGCUGCCUUCUACACAUUCCAGUCCGAUUGGAGCUUCGACGAUUCUGCCUUGGACGUUAACAACUUCGACGUUUCUGCCUUGGACGUCAAUAACUUCGACGUUUCUGUCUUCUUGGCAUGAGAUGUUUGAAAAGAGAAGAUGAGGAGUAGAAAUUAGAGAAGCAGCUGGAGGUGACCACCCUCUGAGGGACAGAGGAGGGAAGAACACGCCAGUUCUUCCUCAGUGCAGGUCUGAAAUUUAGGACAUAAGAUUAUUGCCUCCCCCUUCACCCCAAUUCUUUUUUCCCCAUUUCCUUUUUGCCACCAGGGCGUCGCAUUGUAUUAUAUUGUUAUGUCAAGGAAAAUAAAAAUCUGUCAUUGGUGUUCUGCAUCUCGUACAGUUCCACCAUCUCUUGGGAAUCAGUAAGACAGUAACUGUAAUUCCGAUCGAGAUAUUGGACAUAGAAUGCCACUCUUCAAAUCAAAAAGGGAAAAAAGGAAUAAUCAGCUGUGACACAAAAUCAAACGAAUCCUUUU
rnacentral:rRNA from 1 species